GUGAGGAAUAUUGGUCAAUGGGCGAGAGCCUGAACCAGCCAAGUCGCGUGAAGGAAGAAGGAUCUAUGGUUCGUAAACUUCUUUUGCAGGGGAAUAAAGUGCAGGACGUGUCCUGUUUUGUAUGUACCCUGAGAAUAAGGAUCGGCUAACUCCGUGCCAGCAGCCGCGGUAAUACGGAGGAUCCGAGCUUUAUCCGGAUUUAUUGUGUUUAAAGGGUGCGUAGGUGGUUUGAUAAGUCAGAGGUGAAAGUGUGCAGCUUAACUGUAAAAAUGCCGUUGAAACUGUCGGACUUGAGUGUAAAUGAGGUAGGCGGAAUGCGUGGUGUAGCGGUGAAAUGCAUAGAUAUCACGCAGAACUCCGAUUGCGAAGGCAGCUUACUAAGCUACAACUGACACUGAAGCACGAAAGCGUGGGGAUCAAACAGGAUUAGAAACCCUGGUAGUCC
rnacentral:rRNA from 1 species